UCUUAUGGUUGAACAAAGAAAGUGGUUUCUUGAGAUGAAAACUAUUUCUGGUGAAGAUGCUGUGAA
rnacentral:pre_miRNA from 1 species